AUAACAAUACAGGACUCUUUCGAGGCCCUGUAAUUGGAAUGUGUACACUUUAAAUCCUUUAACGAGGAUCUAUUGGAGGGCAAGUCUGGUGCAGAGCGACUGACCCGUGCGUGCUGCAGCUGAAA